UCAGGUCACACGAGACAAACCGUCCGUCAGAGUGAUGCUAAAAAAAUCCGUCAGAUGGCGCUCGUCUAGUUCAGUUCCGUAUUUCAAUCGAGAGAGCAGCUGUUCAUUAGGCUUAGGGUUACGUCAAGAAGGGUGAUACUAAGGCCUAGAAUAAUCGCGAUAAAUUUUUCGCGGUUUUCAGUUGGCGAACCUGUGAAGUGAAACGAUCCAAGAUGAGGAGCCGUUGACGAUAAGAAUUUCAUGUAUAUGGACCGCAUCUCGAGUCUUGCUGCCUUUAGCAUAGAUUGGACGAACAGCAGUGAGAAAAGGGGAUAAUAGGAUUUUAUCCAGUCAAGCAAGUGAAAUGGAUGCCUAGGCACGUACAGUCAACAGUCUCAACGUCCCGACGCUUGGCGUCGCCACCGUCGGGUAUCUAACCUUAAGUCAGUUGAAAUCCACUCGUAAGAUUAGCAUUUACCAGAUGAAAGAUCCGAGGAGUUCGUAUACGUUAUCAGUAGCCAAUAUGAAUAUCAUGAGAAUAGACUGACCACGGGUUCACCGGGCAGUUAGUACGUCUGACAUGUACCUCGCACACAAUCUGGCUGGUUAGCAGGACGAUCGGCCGCCAUCGUACAGUCGGUGAUAGAGAAGCAAACCGCGAGGGCGUCCAUCACUGUCAAGGAGAAAAGAAAGAGAGAAGAAGAGGAGGAAGAAGAAGAUAGGAUGGAAAAGAGGACGCCGCUUCUGCCUUCUGAACAUCCGCGCGAUGCUCCACUGAGAAAAAUUCUACUGUGACUUAAAACGAGAUACGACGUAGAUGCGAGAGCUGGAUGUGCGGCUCGCAUUCCUGUGGCUUGUCUCCACCACGUGUAACAGGAUGUACGUACAUUGGAUGCUGAAGGAAAAAGAGAAAAAAAAGAAAGAAAAAGAGACUAGUAACUUUCCAAUUCUCAAACAGAAGUCAACAUUGUUACCUGUGUAGAUACAGAUGCAUUCGGUGUUACUUGGUCGGAUGCUGGGUCCAUCCAAUGGCACAGAAACGUAGUAGAUCCAGUUGUACAUUGUAUGUAUACUGCAAUGCAGUGUCUAGGGACUUUUGGUCGGAUCAAAAAUAACUAGUCGGUUGGCUGCUUCUGGCUGUUAUCUUUCCAGAUAUCACGCACCGUGGCUAUCUGAGUAUUUGAAUAACAAAACGAACCACGUCCGUCGGGCUGUCAGCUUGAGGAAGUGGAGUGACGCAUUAAGAGUGAUCUGUUCUUCUUGCUUUUAUCUUUUUCUUUUUUUUUCUUUCUUCUCUCACGUUUUCUACUUCGAUUCGUUUCUUCGGCUCUGAAACAUUCAGGAGUGACGUGAAACUCUGGAGAUUGUAAUCUAGGGAUUUUCUCUUUUUCCUUUGGACAAGUAAACAGACCUUAAGAUAUGGGACUGCGUUUGA